rnacentral:rRNA from 1 species
AUGCCUCCAACUUCGUGGAUCCGCCUUCGUCCCUCCUUCGCCUUCGAGAUGCCGCCGAGCGGGGCCCUGGAGCUCUGGCUGCAGCACGCCGACUGUGGCACCCCUGCAACUGGAGCGGAGGUCGCGGUCGUCGCUUUGGGCAAGGUCUUCAUGACCCGGGGCUGGGCCCGCAUCAGCAGCAGCGCCGUCCGUGAUAGAGGAGCAUCGUCCGCCCACCACCCGCCGUUGAGGAGCAGCUGCGCCGUCCGUUGCUGA